rnacentral:rRNA from 1 species
GCAAGCCUGAUGCAUGCCAUGCCGCGUGUAUGAAGAAGGCCUUCGGGUUGUAAAGUACUUUCAGCGAGGAGGAAAGGGAGUAGGUUAAUAACCUGCUUCUGUGACGUUACUCGCAGAAGAAGGACCGGCUAACUCCGUGCCAGCAGCCGCGGUAAUACGGAGGGUCCGAGCGUUAAUCGGAAUUACUGGGCGUAAAGCGUACGCAGGCGGUUUGUUAAGCGAGAUGUGAAAGCCCCGGGCUCAACCUGGGAACUGCAUUUCGAACUGACAAACUAGAGUUUUGUAGAGGGUGGUAGAAUUUCAGGUGUAGCGGUGAAAUGCGUAGAGAUCUGAAGGAAUACCAGUGGCGAAGGCGGCCACCUGGACAAUAACUGACGCUCAUGUACGAAAGCGUGGGGAGCAUACGGAUUAGAUACCCGGUAGUCCACGCCGUAAACGAUGUCAUACCAUGUGCUGGAGUCCUGGUGCGACUUAUUGAUAGCUAACGCAUGGAGUCGACCGCCAAGUGAGUAUGAGGCAACUUUAAAACUCACGAUAAUU